UACGAAGGGGGCUAGCGUUGCUCGGAAUCACUGGGCGUAAAGCGCACGUAGGCGGUUUGUUAAGUCAGGGGUGAAAGCCUGGAGCUCAACUCCAGAACUGCCCUUGAUACUGGCAAUCUCGAGUCCGGAAGAGGUAAGUGGAACUCCGAGUGUAGAGGUGAAAUUCGUAGAUAUUCGGAAGAACACCAGUGGCGAAGGCGGCUUACUGGUCCGGUACUGACGCUGAGGUGCGAAAGCGUGGGGAGCAAACAGG
rnacentral:rRNA from 1 species